GGGGGCCCAGCAAUGGGCAACCGGCGAACGGGUGCGUAACACGUGAGCAACCUACCGAACUGUGGGGGAUAGCCGGCCUAACGGCCGAGUAAUACCGCAUACGCUCUCAGCGAGGCAUUUCAUUGAGAGGAAACCUACGGGACAGAUCGAGGGGCUCGCGGCCUAUCAGCUAGUUGGCGAGGUAACGGCUCACCAAGGCAACGACGGGUAGCUGGUCUGAGAGGAUGGCCAGCCACAUUGGGACUGAGAUACGGCCCAGACUCCUACGGGAGGCAGCAGUGGGGAAUCUUGCGCAAUGGCCUAACGGCUGACGCAGCGACGCCGCGUGUGGGAUGAAGCUCUUCGGAGUGUAAACCACUGUUGCCCGGGACGAAUAGCUCGAUUAAUCGAGCCUGACGGUACCGGGUGAGGAAGCACCGGCUAACUCCGUGCCAGCAGCCGCGGUAAUACGGGGGGUGCGAGCGUUGUCCGGAAUCACUGGGCGUAAAGGGCGCGUAGGUGGUUUGAUAAGGGUGUGGUGAAAGUCCGGGGCUCAACCCCGGAUCUGCCGUGCCGACUGUCAAACUCGAGGACUGUAGAGGCAGACGGAAUUCCGGGUGUAGCGGUGGGAAUGCGUAGAGAUCCGGAGGAAGACCGGUGGCGAAGGCGGUCUGCUGGGCAGUUUCUGACACUGAGGCGCGACAGCGUGGGGAGCAAACAGGAUUAGA
rnacentral:rRNA from 1 species